CCAACUGUAUCCAACCUCCAAACCGAGGGGGGCUAAAGGGAGGGAGAAGCCCCCCCAAGGGAGACUCUAAGGAACCCCCCAAAAUGUACUGAUGGACGGACGGCGACUAAGGAGAGGGGGGAAAAAAUCCUUGGCUGGUGAUGUCGGAAAGCUGUUUGAAUGCCCAGCGAGGAGGGAGGCGCGAGAGGGAGCGAGAUAGUAAAGCUCUGUCUCGGGUGUGCGCGCCGGCGCGCGGUGCUCGCUCUCCCUUGGGCGCGCGCGCGGCGGGUGCGCGUGUCCCGGGAGCGCGUCCGCGCGGCGGCCUCCCGCGUGCUCGUGUGCGCGCGCGUCCCGGGUGCCGCGCUCCCCUCUUAUGCACAGCUGCGGUGCGCCCCGCCGCCCGCCAGAGGCUCGGCUCGCGCGGCGUGGCCGCUGCGACUUCCUGGAGUUCUGCCUGCCGGGGGCGCGGGCGGGUGUGUGAGAGAGAAGGCGAGGGGAGCCGCGGGGUGGGAGAGGAGGGAGUCCCGGCGGGAGGGCGGGGGAGAGGCUGGCGGGAGGGGGGCUCCACGGAGCUCCAGCCAGGGCCGCGGUGCGCCUGCACGUCACGGCUACUCAAACCCAAGCACGUCCCGAAAGCGGUAUUUUCUGCGUCUGGGAGGUUUUUGCAUCCUCAGUUCCCACCGCUGGGGCUGGCGGCGACCAACUGUAAGAGAAACUCACUGGGAGGCGAAGCAGGGGGGUGCGGAGGAUGGGAAGGCGACUCUGAAGGGUGGGAAGUGAAUGCUGGACUUGAUCGUCUUUCUCUUUCUUUCAGCGCAGACCUGUCGCAGCCAGAGAGCUGUCAUUUCAGUACCGGGAUUCAGAAUUGAUCCAGUCCGCAGCGGAGGGGGCACAUCCCAGCUACCGAGCUGCUGAGUGUCUCUGGCUGGAACAAUAGUAUUUUUUUCUCUGCGAGGCUGCAAUUAACAUCUUAUUUGUUCUGGCUCCAUACAGGCUUUGUCAGGAUCGCGGUGCGGCGACCGACGUUGGGCUCUUGCAUUGCUUUCUGCUUGGCAAUGGAAUCAUGGUUUCGGGAUAGUCAUUUUGCCUCCUGGACAGUUGGCUGACGAAGUGUCUGAUAAACCAGCUUCAGAUACAUGCUACAAAAGGUCAUUCGCCUCCUGAUUAUGUUUCUACUUGUAAACGCAGUUGGUGGUUUGCAAAACAAGUGCUAAAAUAGUGCAGUGAUGUGGUGGGAAGAAACCAUAAUGGGUAAUUCAUAUAAAGUGCUGGAAUCUUCGUAAGGAAGUCCCACUUUAUCAUUAAUGAUGACAAUAACUAAAGCUGCCAGGAACAGAACAUCUGCUGACCUUUAUCAACACCAGAUUCUCUCAUUUUGCCUUCUGGAUCUCCAUGCUCUUUUAUACCAACAAACAAGAGGAAGAAUAUUCUCUACCCACUUCCUUGACUGAAGCCUGCUCUUUUAUGAAGACAUGGCGUCUCUUCCAACCGUGUCAAACAGAUGCAAUUUAUGUGUAUGCUGCUUCCAUACCCUGAUUAAAUGGGUCAGUGGCAGAAUCAGUAUCCUUAAUCUCCCCUUUGGUUUCAAAUAUGUACUCCUUAUUUCACUUUCAUGCUCACCUUUCUGUAGAGAUCAAGGCAUCUGCCUUUGCAGCUUUACCUCUUCCUCCAGGUUAUAGUUUCCAUUCACGGAAUCUUUUAGCUGCUGGCUGGCAGUUUUCCUGUCUACCUGACUUCCAUUCCUCUUCUCAUGACUUCAGCUCCCAUGCAGAUGUCUUAUCCUGACACACUAGCUUCUCCAUUCUAUUUCUGUGUGUGUGUGUCUGUGUGUUUCCCUACUAGUUCAACCACAUUUCCCUAUGGUCUUUUUUUUUAUGUUUUAUUUUUGCAUAUGUGUAUUUCCUUUUAUUUUUUUUAAUUAUUAUACUUUAAGUUUUAGGGUCCAUGUGCACAAUGUGCAGGUUAGUUACAUAUGUAUACAUGUGCCAUGCUGGUGUGCUGCACCCAUUAACUCGUCAUCUAGCAUUAGGUAUAUCUCCUAAUGCUAUCCCUCCCCACUCCCCCCACCCCAUAACAGGCCCCAGAGUGUGAUGUUCCCCUUCCUGUGUCCAUGUGUUCUCAUUGUUCAAUUCCCACCUAUGAGUGAGAAUAUGCGGUGUUUGGUUUUUUGUUCUUGUGGUAGUUUACUGAGAAUGAUGAUUUCCAAUUUCAUCCAUGUCCCUACAAAGGACAUGAACUCAUCAUUUUUAUGGCUGCAUAGUAUUCCAUGGUGUAUAUGUGCCACAUUUUCUUAAUCCAGUCUAUCAUUGUUGGACAUUUGGGUUGGUUCCAAGUCUUUGCUAUUGUGAAUAGUGCCGCAAUAAACAUACGUGUGCAUGUGUCUUUAUAGCAGCAUGAUUUAUAGUCCUUUGGGUAUAUACCCAGUAAUGGGAUGGCUGGGUCAAAUGGUAUUUCUAGUUCUAGGUUCCCUGUGGUCUUUAACUAAAAAGCCUAACCAGUGACUAAACUGCUUCCAGUAUUUAAAAUUUAAUGUUUCAAUUCUCCAAUUACAACCUUCUGCUUUUAUAAACUCACCUCCUAAGUAACCACAUGGAAUCAAGUCUUUCACAAAAUUCAGGUCUUUUUUUUUAUUAUUAGUGAUUCCCACCAAUUUCUGCUCUUAUCUUCACUUUCCUCCUUAUAUUCUGUGGUAAGCAGCCUCUAACAUGGACCCAAAUGAUCCCUACUUCCUGAUAUGUGUGUCCUUGUGUAAUUGUCUCUCUCUUGAAUGUGGGCUAGAUUUAGAAAUUUGCUUUUAUCAAACAGAAUAUGGUAGUAGCAAUGGAAUGUUAAGAUAUAAAAUGACUGUGUUUUCCAUCUUGGGAGCUCCUUUACUCUUCCUUAGAGCAUUUGUUUGCCAGUAAGCCAGGUGCCAUGUUGUCAUACAGCCCUAAAUAGAGAAGUCCAUGUGAGAUUGGCCUUCUGAGGCCUGUCAAAAGACACAUGAGUGAGCUCAGAAGUGGAAGCUUCCUCAUUCAAGUCUUGAGAGGACUGCAGCCCAGCCAACAUCUUGGUUGCCACUUCAUGACAGGCUUGAGCCAGAAUCAAGCAGCUAAGCUGCUUCUGGAUUCCUGACCUACAGACACUAUAGAUCAGGAAUGUUUGUGGCUUCCAACUGCUAAAUUUGGGGAUAAUUUGUUAUGCAAAUAUAGGUAACUAAUGUAUAUCCCAUGGAUUCCACGCCCAUUGUUAUAAUAAUUUACUUACAACAAUCUUCAGUUAUUUAACAUUUUUCUGGCUGGAUCACCACGUUUACUGUGAUGAACAACUGCCCUUCCUGAUCCAGGACCCAUGCAGCAGAGCAUUACUGAAGAAAUUCACACCCUCAGGCAGUUAGAUGUCCCUGUAAAGUUAUAGUCACCAGGUUCUCAUGAUCUCACCACACAGACUGUUACUUAUAAGCUCCCUCUUUUAUUACACCCUAUGAAUAUUUUGUAACUUUUCUUUGAUCAUUAAAAAUGCUUCUCCUCAACUCUUGAAUGAUAAGUGAUAACCUUUUUUCAUUCAUUAUUUAUAAAACAGAUGUGAUUAGAUGGAAAAUACCUUAUAUUCAUUAAAAUGAUUGUACCUUCACCCAUUUUCUCCUGUCUUCCUAUCUCCAGGGAGAUACUGCUCUUAUCUAAGGAGCCAUCCCCUCCACAGGUAACUUGGAUAUUACUUCUAUUGGCUCUCACACCAAUAAUCUCUCCGUCUCUCCUGGACCACUUCCAUCAGCAUACAUAUUUUAUAGCAAUACUACCUGUCUAAAAACUUCUGACCAACAACCUGUUUCUCAGAUACACUUCAUAAUGAAUCUUUUUUUAAAAAGCAAUCACAUUCAGUUCACUUCCUGACUCCCUCUCAUUUCUCAACUCAAUCCAUUCUGGCUUCCACCCCCACAAUUCCACUGAAAAAAAUCUUGUCAAAAAUCACUAAAGACCUUCAUGAUGCCAAGUUAAAGGGAUAAAUGUUUUUCUCAUCUUACUCUAACUUUCAGCAGCAUUUUAAAUGCAAUGCCCUCCUUUUGGAAACCACUUCUAUUUUCGUUUCUGUUUUAUCAUACUCUCCCAGAUGUACUUUUACAUCACUGAUCACUGUGAAGACACUGAGACACUUCUCAGUGUCUUUUGCUUGUUCUUCUUCCACAUUAACUUGAAAUGCUGACUGCUUUAGAGAUAAGUGUUGGAUGUACUUCCCUUAUUUCUCUACCACCUCCCCUUCGGUGAUCUAAUCCACUCCCUAAUAUUGAAUUAUAGGGAGUGAAUAAUCCACUCCCUAAUGAGUAUGUAUAUGUACAUACGUGCAUACACAUAUAUGAAUAGACACCCCAUGUAUAUUCCUUUAACAAGGAUAUCUCCUCUGAGCUCUAUAUUUUUAAAUAAUCAGCUGCCAUGAUUUAUAUCUCUACUAAAUAUGCCUCACAGUCAUCUCAGAUUUGGGGUAAUUGAAGAAAAAUUCCUGAUUACUCCAAAGAAAUGUGCUCUUCCCUCAGUCUUUCUGUUUCAGGAAAUGGCAUCCCUAUCCACCUAGUUAUUCCAUUGGCAAACAUGGGAAUGAUACCUGCUGCUAAUUUUCUAUCACUCUACAUCUAAUCCCUUGACAAAUAUUGCCUGUUCCACUUUGUAGAAGUUUCCUAGGGCUGCCAUAAUAAAAUUCCACAAUGUGGGUGGUUUAAGCAACAGAAAUUUAUUUUUUUCAGUUUUGGAGGCUAGAUGUCUAAAAUCAAGGUCCAUAUUGGAUUGGUUCCUCUGGCGCCUCUUUCUCUGGCUUGCACAUGGCUGCCAUCUUGCUGCCUCUUCAAAUGGGGUUGGGGUGUGCAGAGAUGGGCACAGUUCAGCUCAUGAUAUAACUUCAAUACAUAGAUCUCAAACCUAACCAGUUGGUUCUUUUUUCACUGUUAUCUUUUGUGUGUGUGUGUGUGAAGUACGUAGUUUUUGCUUAGUCUCUUCUACCUGGCAUUCAAUAUUCUUUGUUAAUCUAUCUCUAAUAAGUUAUACUUCAAAAAUGUAUCCCUUUAAAAUCAAAUGGAAAAACACUUUAAUUCCAGGUACUUCUCAAGUAGCACAAAUAAUAAAAUCCAAACUUUUAAUCGUGACCGACAGUGCCCUACCUCAUCUGAUUCUCGCUCCUCUCUCUAACUUCAUCUUGUGCCACACUUCCGCUUACAUAUAAUGCCCAAGCUACAUUCACCUUUUUCUAAGUCACAAGGACGCUACAUUUUUAUCUCCUUACAAUCUUCCAAUGUCAGAAUUAUUCUACCUGGAAUACACUUCCCCUUUUCUACUGCUAGGAGAAACUUUAUAGGCCUGACCUGCCCGCUUCUCAUGCCUCAGAUUUCAUCUUGAAAAUUCCCUUUUUGGAGCUUUUUAAAUUUUUUUUUAACCACCCAAUCUAUGGUGAUCUCUCCUUGUGUUCUCUUUCAAGGUACUUAUCUGUUUUGUUUUGUUUUUUUACUCAGGUAAAUACUUUAAGUUCCGGGAUACAUGUGCAAACGUGCAGGUUUGUUACAUAGAUAUAUACGUGUGCAUGUUCUCACUCAUAAGUGGGAGUUGAACAAGGAGAACACGUGGACACAGGGAUGGUAACAUCACACACUGGGGCCUAUCUGUUUUUUACUAGUUACCAAUUUUUAUUUAAUUGGUCUUCAUCUUUUUGUUUUUUAUGAGUGUGUUAGCUCCAUCAUUACAAACUCCUGCCUAAAGUAGUGCAAGACACAUGGUGAGUGCUUCCUAGGUCUUUAGUGAAUAAAUGGGUUGAACAACAUGAUAAAUCUUAUAUAUGGGUAUUAGUUGUGUCCACUGGAGAAAUAUCUAUUCCAACAGCUCACGUAUUCCUGCAUAAAAACUCAGCUAGAGUUCUCUCUUCCCUGUACCAAAUUCCUGAUGUCCUGAGAAAUUUCUCAGGUGACAUGGUCUCCAGACUUUUCAUCUUUAUGACUGUUUUCAAUUGAUUUUAUCUUAGCUUGUCACAGUUCUUUGAUGCCACAAUUAAACAAAAUACUCCAGAUUUCAGCUGCUCAGCAUGGUUGUAAUACCUUUAUUUCUUCAAUCCAGAGAAAUAAACAGGGAGCAUCUAUGUAGCCAAACUGUGAAUUUACAAUGAUGAAUGUCUCCUAUGAGGAGAAUAAGGCUUCCAAAUCCCUGAAGUCAACUGAUCAUUUACAUAUUUAACACAUAAUUAAUAAGCACUUACACCAUAUAAGAUAGUUGUAAGGUGUUUGGGAAACUGAAAUGACAACACAGAGUCCCUGCCCUUCUGAUGAAUGCCUUGUAUUUGUAGUGAUAGCCAAUGAACAGCUAGCCACCAGAUAAUUAUUAAUGGCAAGUGUGUCAAAUGUCUCAGAGAAGAGACAAAGGAAGUUGUGAGAGGUGUGGAGUCUGUUUGUGGGAACAGAGGGGAUGCCCUAGUAUGGAAGGGCAGAGAACAUUUAUUUACCUGAAUACGUAACGGUUGACCAGCAAUUCGAAGGAUACUAACGAAAUUUAGUCAUGCUCAUCAAAGGGAACAGAAUGUACAAAAAAAUUGAGGCAGAAGGAAGUGGAACACAUUCUAGGUAAAGAAAGUUAAGGUGAGGGAAUAAAAAGGACAAAGAGGUCAGUGGCAAUUGAUAACAUUUCUGAUAAAUUGUUUGCUAAAUAUUAGGAUAAAAAUCAGUGAGUCUUGGCAGGGCACUGUGGCUCACGCCUGUAAUCCUAGCACUUUGGGAAGCUGAGGCAGGUGAAUCACCUGAUGUCAGGAGUUCGAGACCAGCCUGGCCAACAUGGUGAAACGUCGUCUCUACUAAAAAUAUAAAAAAUCAGCUGGUCUUGGUGGUGGGCACCUGUAAUCCCAGCUACUCAGGAGGCUGAGGCAGGAGAAUCACUUGUACUCUGGAGGCAGAGGUUGCAGUGAGCUGAGAUUGCGCCAUUGCAUGCCAGCAUGGGCGACAAGAGCAAAACUACAUCUCAGGGAAAAAAAAAAAUCAGUGAGUGUUUGUAAUAAUAAUAAUAUGAUUGAAAGGAUUGUAAACAGAGACUAACUCAGAUUUACAUAUUUUAAUAACUAAUUUUCAUUUCAGUCGGAGGAGCGAUUUGAGAGAGGUAAGAGUGAAUGUGAAGAUUCAAGUCAGGAAACUGUUACAUAAGUGAAAAUGGUGGCAUCAGUAUGGAUGAAGAAGAGAAGUGUCCAAGAGACCUUUGGAGGCAAAAUUAAUAGAACGUGUCAAUGGUUAGGUAUAAGGAGAAUGACUGGAUCUGGAUAAGAGUCUCUGUUAGUGAAUCUGCUGUAUGCACUGCUGGUUCAUAUUCAAGUGACAGUUAGUUAAAAUACAUUGAUCUAGAUAUUUAUUUACAUUUAGAAUUAAGUGUUUAUUUAUUACUUUAUACAAUUGAAUUUGUGAUCUUAAAUGUGUGUGUGUGUGUGCUUGAGAGACAGUGUGCGAGAGAGAGAGAAGGGAGAGAGAGACACACACACAAAACAUGGCGACAGAAAAUAACAAUUUAUUUGUCUCACAAAUAUGCAAUCUGGGGAGUCCUUUUCUGUUGGAAUAGCUUGUCUUUUGACACUGUCUUUCAGGGUCAUCUUGAAUAAACUGGGUGUGAAGGGUCCAUGUCCAAGAUAGCUCCACCUGUGACUGGCAUUUGGCACUAGCUAUUGGCUGGGGGCUCAGUAGGAGCCGUAACACAGGGGAUGUAGUACCUCUUUACACAGGCCAUUCUAUAGGGCUGCUUGCUCUUCCACACAGCAUUGCAGCUGUCUUUCAUAAGUCAGUGUUCGAAAAUGUAGGAAAAGAAAUCUGUCAGUGUCUUAAGACCUAGGUCUGUAAAUUGGUACAGAUUCAUAUCUGACAUUAUUCUUAGUCAAACAGUCACUAAGCUUGUUCAGCUUCAAGGUGCUGGUGGAGGGGGGCUGGGCUGGGAGGGAGAGAGCUGAAAAAUCUCUAGUUCUUAAUGUAGUCACCAUUCUCAAUGAAAGGAAUAUUAAAGAAUGUGUGAUAUGUGGUGUACACUCUGUUCAUUGACAUCUUCUUGCUGGAUUCUAUCAUCCAAUAUGUUAGGUAUUAUUCCAUAAUCAAUGACAUCUGCAUAUCUGAAGUGAUUUCCAAGUCAGUGGCCACUGUUUCAACAUAGUGUCAGUGACAUACAACUAGAAACAUUUCUCCAUUAUAAUGCAAACUUCUAGAGGGCAGGGAUAUUAUCUUAUCCCAUAAUAUCAGCCUUUGGACAGCACUUGAUAAAUAUUGUUUUUCUAGUUCACUAAUUGAGAUCCUUUUAGUUGUUAUAGAAUGUUAUUUAACCAAACAAUCCAUAUUUAUCUUUCCUUUCUUCAGGAACAUGAGAGAUUAUUUCAAAUACCUUGUAAGAAGAAGAAGCAUAUGUACUAUGCUUACAACAUUCUGCUCUGUGACAUCCCUAGCAGUAGUUGUUAGAUUAAUAGUAUUAUUUCUUAGUAUAGCCAGGCUGGUUUCUAUUUAUCCCCAUUUUGUUUUCUAUAAAUUCACAAACCACCUAUUCUGUAACAUAUUACAUAAUUUUUACAGAGACCACUAUUAAAUUUAAAGUUUAUUAAAUUUAAUAAACCAUGAUUUCUAGAAUUCAGCCUCUUUUCCCAUUUAAAAUAAAGCCUGUAUUUAUCACCUACUACUAUUUGUUUCCUGUGUCCACCUAUUUUCCAAGAUUUUUCAAACGUAGUUGGAAAUACUUUAAUAAGAACACUUAUACUUUCUUUAAGUAUACUGUGAUGUAAUUUUUCUAGACCAGGACAUUUGAAAAAAUGAUAACAUACCUAAGGAUUCUUUCAUUUUCUUGAUUUCUCAGGUAUUAUUUUACUUUUAAACAUUGUUGGUCCAUGCUUUCAAAGUGAAAAAUAAUUCUUUUUUGAUUGAAGAUGGAAUCAAAGCAGGAACUGAGUUAUGUUUUCUCUUGUUUUCUUAUAUCAUUAAACAUUCUGUGCCAUGAAGGCAGAACUUUUUUCACACUUCCUGUUAUUUUUACACAUUUGAAAUUUUUUACUUGUUUUAUCCUUCUUUA